rnacentral:rRNA from 1 species
UACAGAGGUCUCAAGCGUUGUUCGGAUUCAUUGGGCGUAAAGGGUGCGUAGGUGGCAGGGUAAGUCGGAUGUGAAAUCCCGGGGCUCAACCUCGGAACUGCAUUCGAUACUGGACGUCUGGAGUUCGGGAGAGGUGAGUGGAAUUCCCGGUGUAGUAGUGAAAUGCGUAGAUAUCGGGAGGAACACCAGUGGCGAAGGCGGCCUCUGGCUCAUAACUGACGCUGUAGCGCGAAAGCGUGGGGAGCAAACAGG